rnacentral:tRNA from 1 species
GCCCGGGUAGACAAACUGGCAAAGUCAGCGGACUUAAAAUCCGCCGCCCGCGAGGGCUUGUGGGUUCGAUUCCCACCCCGGGCA